rnacentral:rRNA from 1 species
UACGUAGGGGGCAAGCGUUAUCCGGAAUUACUGGGUGUAAAGGGAGCGUAGACGGUAAUGUAAGUCUGGAGUGAAAGGCGGGGGCCCAACCCCCGGACUGCUCUGGAAACUAUGUUACUAGAGUGCAGGAGAGGUAAGCGGGAUUCCUAGUGUAGCGGUGAAAUGCGUAGAUAUUAGGAGGAACACCAGUGGCGAAGGCGGCUUACUGGACUGUAACUGACGUUGAGGCUCGAAAGCGUGGGGAGCAAACAGG